rnacentral:piRNA from 1 species
CACAAAGAAUCUUCUAGUCAGAACAAC